AAUAGAUACCCCGGUAGUCCACCCCGUAAACGUUGGGAACUAGUUGUGGGGUCCAUUCCACGGAUUCCGUGACGCAGCUAACGCAUUAAGUUCCCCGCCUGGGGAGUACGGCCGCAAGGCUAAAACUCAAAGGAAUUGACGGGGACCCGCACAAGCGGCGGAGCAUGCGGAUUAAUUCGAUGCAACGCGAAGAACCUUACCAAGGCUUGACAUAUAGAGGAAACGGCUGGAAACAGUCGCCCCGCAAGGUCUCUAUACAGGUGGUGCAUGGUUGUCGUCAGCUCGUGUCGUGAGAUGUUGGGUUAAGUCCCGCAACGAGCGCAACCCUCGUUCUAUGUUGCCAGCACGUAAUGGUGGGAACUCAUGGGAUACUGCCGGGGUCAACUCGGAGGAAGGUGGGGAUGACGUCAAAUCAUCAUGCCCCUUAUGUCUUGGGCUUCACGCAUGCUACAAUGGCCGGUACAAAGGGCUGCAAUACCGUAAGGUGGAGCGAAUCCCAAAAAGCCGGUCCCAGUUCGGAUUGAGGUCUGCAACUCGACCUCA
rnacentral:rRNA from 1 species